AUUGAACGCUGGCGGAAUGCUUUACACAUGCAAGUCGAGCGGCAGCGCGGCCUUCGGGCUGGCGGCGAGCGGCGAACGGGUGAGUAAUGCAUCGGAACAUGCCCAGUCGUGGGGGAUAACACUUCGAAAGAAGUGCUAAUACCGCAUACGUCCUGAGGGGGAAAGCGGGGGAUCGCAAGACCUCGCGCGAUUGGAGUGGCCGAUGUCAGAUUAGCUAGUUGGUGGGGUAAAGGCCUACCAAGGCGACGAUCUGUAGCUGGUCUGAGAGGAUGAUCAGCCACACUGGGACUGAGACACGGCCCAGACUCCUACGGGAGGCAGCAGUGGGGAAUUUUGGACAAUGGGCGAAACCCUGAUCCAGCAAUUCCGCGUGAGUGAAGAAGGCCUUCGGGUUGUAAAGCUCUUUCGGCAGGAACGAAACGGUGGGCUCUAACAUAGUCCGCUAAUGACGGUACCUGAAGAAGAAGCACCGGCUAACUACGUG
rnacentral:rRNA from 1 species